UCCCUCUCAGGGUUGCACCUGGAGAUUUUGCAGUACUCUACCAGUCUCUACUACAAGAGGAAGAGUCAAGCAGAAACGUGUCCAUUCCAUUCCCAGCUUGGGCAGUGGCUAGCGAGUGGAAGGCAAUCUGCUACCAAC